rnacentral:lncRNA from 1 species
ACUAAGUUAAUUAAACUAAUGACCUAAAAAUAACAAACUAAAAUUUAAAAGAGAAAAUAAUAAUAUUCAAAUUAAAUAAAACAAUAAGUGAAAUAAAUAAAACUGGGAGUGUAUUUUGUAAUGGGCUAGCAAAACACAGGGGUGUGAAAAGAAACUGGGUAAGGCCCAAGGUCCAUUUCACAUCUCUAGAACCCUAACUUCAUUAAGAGUAAUAAUUAAAAAAAAUAGAAAAAAGAAAGAAAAAAAACACAUGCUUCCAAUAGGGAAUUGGUAGUAUGAGAGGUUGUGGUGGUGAAGGUUU